AUUGAACGCUGGCGGCAGGCCUAACACAUGCAAGUCGAACGGUAACAGGAAGCAGCUUGCUGCUUCGCUGACGAGUGGCGGACGGGUGAGUAAUGUCUGGGAAACUGCCUGAUGGAGGGGGAUAACUACUGGAAACGGUAGCUAAUACCCCAUAACGUCGCAAGACCAAAGAGGGGGACCUUAGGGCCUCUUGCCAUCGGAUGUGCCCAGAUGGGAUUAGCUCGUAGGUGGGGUAACGGCUCACCUAGGCGACGAUCCCUAGCUGGUCUGAGAGGAUGACCAGCCACACUGGAACUGAGACACGGUGCAGACUGCUGCGGGAGGCAGCAGUGGGGAAUAUUGGACAAAGGGCGCAAGCCUGAUGCAGGCAUGCCGCGUGUAUGAAGAAGGCCUUCGGGUUGUAAAGUACUUUCAGCGGGGAGGAAGGGAGUAAAGUUAAUACCUUUGCUCAUUGACGUUACCCGCAGAAGAAGCACCGGCUAACUCCGUG
rnacentral:rRNA from 1 species